CGGACGGGUGAGUAAUGCUUGGGAAUCUAGCUUAUGGAGGGGGAUAACUACGGGAAACUGUAGCUAAUACCGCGUAAUAUCGAGAGAUUAAAGUGUGGGACCUUCGGGCCACAUGCCAUAGGAUGAGCCCAAGUGGGAUUAGGUAGUUGGUGAGGUAAAGGCUCACCAAGCCGACGAUCUCUAGCUGGUCUGAGGGGAUGACCAGCCACACUGGGACUGAGACACGGCCCAG
rnacentral:rRNA from 1 species